GGAAUGGCUUUCAUGGAGUGUAACCAUGGCGUUCCGAGGAUUGCGUUGUAGGGUGCCUUAGCUCGGAUAACAGAGAACUUAACGGUGCGAGUCACGUCACCUGCGUAAACUGGAAGACGAAUUGUCCCAAUCAUCUGUUCCGAGGAACCAUUGAACCCCGUGAGAGUACGUGAGGAGGGCUUCAUAUCUCGCAGGUCGACUCCCAUCUUGUCGAGCGUGUCCCGAAAGAUGAGGUGGACUGAGCUGCCUGUGUCGACGAGAACCUUCGUGACCUGGCAUUCGCCAAUUCCGAUAUCAAUUAGGAGUGGGUCGUUAUGCGGCAUGCUGAUGCCGUGAGUGUCGGCCGUCGAGAAAGAGAUUUGGUGGUCUGCUUCGACUUGCGAAGGCCACUUUUGGGCGGUUAUGGCUUGUCGCCUGUAAUCUUUAACUGCUCUUACCGAGUCCCCGCAAGGGGGUGAACC
rnacentral:lncRNA from 1 species